rnacentral:rRNA from 1 species
CCUACGGGAGGCAGCAGUGAGGAAUAUUGGUCAAUGGACGAGAGUCUGAACCAGCCAAGUAGCGUGAAGGAUGACUGCCCUAUGGGUUGUAAACUUCUUUUAUAAAGGAAUAAACCUAGGCACGUGUGCCUUUUUGCAUGUACUUUAUGAAUAAGGAUCGGCUAACUCCGUGCCAGCAGCCGCGGUAAUACGGAGGAUCCGAGCGUUAUCCGGAUUUAUUGGGUUUAAAGGGAGCGUAGAUGGGUUGUUAAGUCAGUUGUGAAAGUUUGCGGCUCAACCGGAAAAUUGCAAUUGAUACUGGCAGUCUUGAGUACAGAUGAGGUAGGCGGAAUGCGUGGUGUAGCGGUGAAAUGCUUAGAGAUCACGAAGAACACCGAUUGCGAAGGCAGCUUACUAAGCUGUGACUGACAUUGAGGCUCGAAAGCGUGGGGAUCAAACAGGAUUAGAUACCCGGGUAGUC